AUAUCGCAGUGGAACAAGCCUAAUCAUGGAUUUUAAUGCAAUUAACCAGUAGUUACGAAUAGAAUAGAAAUUUUAAAGACACGCGUUAUAUAAACGUGUGAAACUGCACAAGUGUCAAACGUAUCUGGUAGCCAUGAGGCUUCGGGGCAAGGAAAUGAUGCUAUAAAUCCCUCGAAUGCGGAUAGAAAGUUAAAUUUAUCCGAGUAGGACAAAUUGAUCUUGCGGGAAUUAUUUUUAAGCGUAUUAUAGAUUAAUUGCAAAUAAUUUCAGAAUUGUUGAUCCGACUUUUUUUUUACCGUUAUUUUCAUGUGCGAUCAUAAAAAUGCAACGUCACGAUAAUAUAAUCCACCACGAAACAAUAUACGUCACGUAUUCUUUAAUGAUAAUUUUAGCACGAUUCUAUCUCUUUUCUCACAGAAGAAACUGGAUUAUCAAAGCACAGGGGACGGUUACACACACGCGUGCAAAAAAUCCGGAAACGUAUCGAAAAGGUGAACGCCAUACGAAGACAAGAAACGAGUAUCUGCGAAGAGAUGGCGAAAGGGCAACGGAUCUACGUUGCGCAGCGGAGAGACCUCCGAAGAAGAAGAACAAGAAGAAGAA